GAUGUGGCACAAUGGUUGUGUGACUGUCUGCGACACUGAAGGUUUCGGGUUCGAUUCCCGGUGGGUCA